rnacentral:rRNA from 1 species
GACGUAGGGCGCGAGCGUUGUCCGGAUUUAUUGGGCGUAAAGAGCUCGUAGGCGGUUUGUUGCGUCGGCUGUGAAAUCCCGAGGCUCAACCUCGGGUCUGCAGUCGAUACGAGCAAACUAGAGUGUUGCAGGGGAGACUGGAAUUCCUGGUGUAGCGGUGAAAUGCGCAGAUAUCAGGAGGAACACCGAUGGCGAAGGCAGGUCACUGGGCCGCAACUGACGCUGAGGAGCGAAAGCAUGGGGAGCGAACAGG